rnacentral:RNase_P_RNA from 1 species
AGGCGCGCAACUUACAAGCUAACUGCUUGAGGAAAGUCCGAGCUCCUCUGGGCAGGAUGCUGGUUAACUGCCAGAGAGGGAAACCUCUGGAUAGGGCCACAGAAAAAAACUACUAUCCUUUGAUAGUACAGGUGAAAAGGCGAGGUAAAAGCUCACCGGCAGAAGAGCGAUCUUCUGGCCCGGCAACCCCCAUCCGGAGCAAGGCCAAAUAGGGAAGGAGAUAGCCCAGGUCGUUAUUACUUCCGGGUAGGCCGCAAGAGGCUAAGGGAAACCUUAGUCCCAGAUAAAUGGUUGCGAUCCUUUUU